CCUUCAUGAAGCCGGAAUUGCUAGUAAUGGCAGGUCAGCAUACUGCCGUGAAUACGUUCCCGGGCCUUGUACACACCGCCCGUCACACCAUGAGAGUUGGGGAUACCCGAAGCCUGUGAGCUAACUAUUUAUAGGAGCAGCAGUCGAAGGUAGAAUCAAUGAUUGGGGUGAAGUCGUAACAAGGUAAC
rnacentral:rRNA from 1 species